rnacentral:rRNA from 1 species
CUGAACCAGCCAAGUAGCGUGAAGGAUGACUGCCCUAUGGGUUGUAAACUUCUUUUAUAAAGGAAUAAAGUCGGGUAUGCAUACCCGUUUGCAUGUACUUUAUGAAUAAGGAUCGGCUAGCUCCGUGCCAGCAGCCGCGGUAAUACGGAGGAUCCGAGCGUUAUCCGGAUUUAUUGGGUUUAAAGGGAGCGUAGAUGGAUGUUUAAGUCAGUUGUGAAAGUUUGCGG